rnacentral:rRNA from 1 species
AAUGAACGUUGGCGGCGUGGAUUAGGCAUGCAAGUCGAGCGAGAACCCUGCAAGGGGGGACAGCGGCGCAAGGGACAGUAAUGUGUAGAUCAUCUGCCCUCAGGUCCGGGAUAGCUGCGGGAAACUGCAGGUAAUACCGGAUAACAUCUCCGGAUCACAGGUGUGAUUCCGCCUGAGGAUGAGUCUGCAUCCUAUUAGCUAGUUGGCAGGGUAACGGCCUACCAAGGCAUUGGUGGGUAGCGGGUGUGAGAGCACGACCCGCGUCAUUGGGACUGAUACACUGCCCAGACACCUACGGGUGGCUGCAGUCGAGAAUCUUCGGCAAUGGGCGCAAGCCUGACCGAGCGACGCCGCGUGUGGGAUGAAGGCCUUCGGGUUGUAAACCACUGUCAGAGGGGAUGAAAUGCAGGUGGGUUCUCCCAUCUGUUUGACAUAGCCUCAGAGGAAGGACGGGCUAAGUUCGUGCCAGCCGCCGCUGUAA